rnacentral:rRNA from 1 species
GACGAACCGUGCGAACGUUGUUCGGAAUCACUGGGCUUAAAGGGCGCGUAGGCGGGUGCGUAAGUUCGGGGUGAAAGCCCCCGGCUCAACCGGGGAACAGCUUCGGAUACUGCGCAUCUGGAGGGGGUAGGGGCAGACGGAACUUCCGGUGGAGCGGUGAAAUGCGUUGAUAUCGGAAGGAACGCCGGUGGCGAAAGCGGUCUGCUGGGCGAGUGAGCUGACACUGAGGUGCGACAGCGUGGGGAGCAAACAGG